CUGCUUAUUUUCUGUGCAGAAUUCUAACGUUACCCCAACUCCGUUUUGUAUAUUAACUGAAACUCAAUUUAUAUUAGAUGCACCAUUGCCUCCCCAUCAGCGGCAUGCUCGAAGAACAAAACCUAGCAAAAAAAAGCUUAGCUUCACUAUAAAUUUAAAACUACAUUAAUUAAUUAGCUCUUUUGCAAGCUUAUAUCCCCUCUCUUGCAACUAAUAUGCACAGGUUGUAGGUUAUACGUUACGAAAUUCAUGUUGUUGCAAUAUAAACCAACUCCCCAAUAAUGUGAACAUUUUAAAAAAUGUCCAUGUAAAUAUUGUAAAAAAGAUUUGAAUAUGAACCAUCAGGAUUUUGUCAAAAAGUUUCAAGUGUGUAAAAAUAUUAAUUCGGUCAGCUACUGCAGAUAAUAAUGAUGACCAAUCAACUUAUAAUGUUGUCUAUAAUGAAAUCAUUCAAAAAACUUUGUUGUAAACAUAUUCAUGUCAUCUUUACAUUUUGAAAAGAGUUACCUUGAAAUAUCUCCUAACUUACUAUGAUAUCCCAGACACCUAUGUCUAUUAAAUUACUUGUAAUGUCUAACGUGGCAUACACCAUCUAUCAUUUGACACGAGAAAA